CUGAAUCUGAUCCGUACCAUUGCCGUUUGUCUGAUUGUGUUGUUUCACGUUAGCGAAGGAUGUUUUAGAUAUGACUUUAAUGAACGACAAUCAGUCCAUGGCACAUUGGAUUUUCCCGGUGGAAACAACUAUGAAGUUGGUGUGGGAUUGAAUUAUCGAUUCAAACGACAUACACAGGACCACCAGAAGUUUCAUGUAGAGAUAUAUUAUAAAGGUAUUUCGGGACACGACACGCCACUUGACCCAUGUGUAUUCAAUCGGUAUGACUUGGAUGUCAAAGGUUACGUUACAGAAGGGGAUUUGGAGAAGAUAUUUGUUUAUUUCGGUGAUGACGUCAACACACCUAAAAUUCUUCACAACUUUUUUACAGAACUUGACAUUGAUGAAGACAAAAUGGUAACAAAAGAGGAAUUCGACAUAAAGAAGAACGAUGUCAUCACCAAAGAAAGCUGCAAUAUAAUAAAGUACAUAGAUGCAAUGAAAGCUGAACAGAACAUGACAUUGUUGAAAUGAUUUUGACUGUUUAAAUUGAUGUCAAUAUUUUGUCCUCUUGCUCAGAUCUUAUAGCUAAUGAAAAGUCAAUAUUUUGCCCUCUUGCUCAGAUCUUAUAGCUAAUGAAAAUUGCUCUAACAAAACAAUGCACUGAAAUGCAAAUGGUUCAAAUAGUGAUAUGAACGCUUCGAUUAUAUAAUUGCAUUGCCUUGCAUUUCACUUAACGUAUUUAAUUUUGUAUUCUUUUUUCUGCUUUCGGCAAUUUAUAUUUUCAUCAAACUUAUAUUGUAUUGUCUUUUCUCACUAUAUUCAACUUGACAGAGCAUGCCUCAAAUUAGCAUUUCUUACACCUGUAUGUCAUUAAUUUUUUUCUAUAGACCAAUUCAAAUAUUAAACUUUCAUUUGAAUUAUUAUUGUUUCAUUUUAUGCAUCUGCAUUUUAGUGCAAAUUAGAAUGUGGACUUGUAUUAACAACAUACGAAAAAUGUACGUUAAAAUUAUUUGUGGAAAGGGCAAUGUUUGGGUGAAAUAUGAGGUCUUUAGAGAAAAAAUACUAAAAACUUGACAUGAAGGAAAACUGUGAUUUAUAGUUACAUCUUAAGAAUAUAAACUGGAUGAAGACAUAACAAUUAUCUUGUGUAUAUAUUGUGUGUUCCGCUUGUAAUAAGUGUGAUCAUUAAGACAAUUUUGGGGUGAAAGAUGUGUGUUUUAACCUGUCAAAAAAAAAUGACCCCAGCAGUAUACAGACCACAUUAUACACAACUAAAGACGGAGCAACAUGAACUCCACCAGAAAGCGAUGGGGGAUCUCGGGUGCUCCGGAAGGGUAAGCAGAUCCUGCUCCACAUAUGGCACCCGUCGUGCCAACCCGGUGAUAAGUCCAAUUCUUUAGGUCACAUUCGGGGGAAAAGGAGGACGGGAUCCUGCUUACGAUGAUUUGAACAUAUCCGUCGUCAUUUGUGAAACAGAUAUUCCAUAACGGUCAACCAACUCGUGAUGGCGUCCGUAAAAUUUUCGAAGGGAUGAUUUCAACUUCACCACUUGGAACUCUUGGUUUAAUAUCUUCCUUGUGAGCAGCAACCCUCUAUCAGGGAAGUAAUGAUAGGAUUCUCAAGCCCCGGAAUAUCGUAUCAACUGGGAGAUACAUACUCCAUAUGCAGGCGCUGUUGGAAUGUUGCUACAUAGAAAUUAAAAGUUCACAAUUUAGAAGCUGAAAUCAUCUCUUUUGUCGUAAAGUUUUGUUCUCAACCGACCCUCAUUGUCAAUUUCUAGUUUGAAGUCAAGAUAUAAGGCCGACUUAACUGUAUCUGUUGUAUCAUUUAUUUCAAGGUUCGAUGAGAUGGAAGCGUUUAACAUAGUCACUAAACUUUGAAUUAUUUAGUGAGUGGACAUCAUCUAUAUAGCGGAAGUGAAGUUAACAUUCUGUAAGAAUGGACAGAGAAAAAUAAUUUACGCAGUUUACGAUAUGACCAUCAUGCAAUUUACAUUUCAGAUAAAAUGUACUAACCAUUUUUAAACUUUAGAGAUUGUAAAAAUUUUAUAUUAUAUAAUAAAGAUAGAUGAACCACACGCGAUUUGGUUAGUCCUCUUCAUCGAUCUUGACAAUGAUAAAUCAUAAGUACUUUCAUUAACAAGUGUAUACUUUUACACCAAAGAUAGUCUAAUUAAUGUCUUAUCAACGAAUUAUAUCCAUUUUAAGAUGAUAUAAUUUUUAAUUUCAUGACCGAUCGAUAUGUACAUCGUAAAUACAAGUUCUUUUUCUCUUUUUUUAUUCUAACAUAAUUUUCACCUGGAUAUUGAGAAAAAAUAACGCAUAUAUAUUUUAAAUACAACGAGCCUGCAAAUAGGGUGGAUAUCCUAGAGAAUAAGAAAAAUUAAAUCAUAGCUAUGUAUUGUAUAAUUUUCACUAUGUGAUUAAUGUUUAUUUCUAUGAAAAGUAAAUGGAAAUACAUUUUUGAAAAAAAAAACUUUUUGUGGUCUAUCACCCAGAGAACGAUCGUGCAGCCAUCUUUGCAUGUAGAAUUAGAAAUCAUAAAACUACAACAAUGAGGCGCUAAUAAAACAAUUCUAAAUCGAAAUGGAUUUGCAGUAAUAAUAUAUUGCGUUUACUAACAAUAUGACCCCUCCCCAAAAAAAUUAAAAAAAAUCAAAAAAAUCUUCAAAUCUUUUUACAUUGUUUCCGACAAAACAGCUGCUUAUAUUCUAUGUGACAAAGUUGAGGUUAAGCAUCUAUUAAAUUGAUUGGUUCGUGCAACCGUGAAAUUGAUUCAUAAAUACAACCAAAAAACUAUUCAAUUUGAAAGAAUACUUUAAUUUGAUUUUUUUAACUUCAUUUCUACAUAAAAUGAUGAUAUAUAAAUAUUAUAGCUAAUGCAAACUGCUCUCACAAACAACGCACUGAAUUCCAAAUGGUUCAAAUAUUGAUAUGAACGCUUCGAUUAUAGUUGCAUUGCCUUGCAUUUCACUUUAUUUAUUUAAUUUUAUAUCUUUUUUUUCUUACGGCAAUUUAUAUUUUCAUCAAACUUAUAUUGUAUUGUCUUUUCUCACUAUAUUCAACUUGACAGAGCAUGCCUCAAAUUAGCAUUUCUUACACCUGUAUGUCAUUAAUUUUUUUCUAUAGACCAAUUCAAAUAUUAAACAUUCAUCUGAAUUA